AGUACGGCGCUCCAGUGGCAAG
rnacentral:miRNA from 1 species